CCGGAGAGAGAGAGGGGACGCAAUCUGGUAAUGGAGUUUCUGCUGGAUGAGAUGGUGACGGUGGUGGGAGAUCCAUUUUCUCAGCAUAUGAAGGAAUCCAGAAAUGGACCAGGCAAAAGGAAGAAAAGAUGGCCUUUGACAGAAUAUUUUUUGAGGGCCAGAGGAUUAAAAUUUUCGAGUAUUCCUCAAGGAUCUUUUCCUUUUUAUUCCGUCUUCAAAACCAAUCAUUAACAUACGAGGAGUUGAGUUUUGCUUAGAUAUGGAUGCCACGUGGACCAACAACAGCUCUCCACGUCAGGUUUCACAGCCCCCCUCUCUUUCUCGAGAAAAUCCCUCCCGAGAACAACAAGUUAGUGAGGAAGGCACGCGGUUGGUUCUAUGCGGUGACACUUGAGUGUCUCAGUCCCCGCCGACGUUUCCUUCGAUCAGUGGACCCUUCUUGUGAUUUGUUGACACUUUUGAACAGGAUGGUUCGUCGGGCCUUCGCCCCGACUACAUCCACUCUAGGCCCGGGACUAGCCUUUGUAUAUUAAUCAUUUUAGUCAAGAAAUUACAUCACUCUCUACCAGUGAAAUCGAACCCAGGACCUUGAGGAUGAUUUUG